UACUUCAUAUUUUGUGACCAGUAAGUUGCACUUGAAAAAGAAGUACAUUUAAGUAUGAAUGCAUUGUUUUUGUCAGUAAAAACUAAAUGGGUUUCAAUUUGUAGAGUGUUGGAGCACAGUAAGUAAGAUGAUGCAAAACAUGACAGGAUUAAAUUGCGUACUCUCCAUGUUUUAUAGCAUGUUAAUAAAUAUCAGUACUUAGGAUCAGAAAAUUCAUCCUUGCUACAAUUCACCCUUUUGGAAAGGGUGGAAAAAAAAACAGAAUGGCUAUUAAUGUGUCACUUUUCUUAGGCUUUCAAAAGCCCAUUUUUUAGUUUCACUACCUGUCCUUUGCACCCUGUGACCCCUGUCAUCUUUGGGAUAGUUUAUCAUUUGAAACACAGGCUGAAUAUGAUGCAAUGCUGAUAGAAUAUGCAGGAGAAGGUAUCCCACUUCUAGCAGCAGCUGUUGGAGGUCAGGUCUUUGCACCAUAUUUUGCUGGAUUUCUUCCACUUCUUCUUGCUAAAGCA